UGCGGCUGCUUGCCCAACCCGGGCACGUUCGAGGAGUGCCACCGGAAGUGCAAAGAGCGGUUUCCUAUUCAGAUGGAAGGCGUCAAACUCACUGUCAACAAAGGGUUGAGUAACCAUUUCCAGGUGAACCACACAGUAGCCCUCAGCACAAUCGGGGAGUCCACCUACCAGUUUGGGGUCACAUAUGUGGGAACAAAGCAGCUGAGUCCCACAGAGGGCUUCCCUGUGCUGGUGGGCGACAUGGACAGCAGUGGCAGCCUCAAUGCUCAGAUCAUUCACCAGCUAGGCCCCGGCCUCAGGUCCAAGAUGGCCAUCCAGACACAGCAGUCAAAGUUUGUGAACUGGUAGAUGGAUGGGGAGUACCGGGGUUCAGACUUCACUGCAGCUGUCACCCUAGGGAACCCAGACUUCUUGGUGGGUUCAGAAAUCCUUGUGGCCCACUACCUCCAGAGCAUCACACCCUGUCUGGCACUGGGCGGAGAACUGGUCUACCACCGGCGACCUGGGGAGGAGGGCACCGUCAUCUCUCUAGCUGGGAAAUACACACUAAACAACUGGUUGGCAACAGUGACACUAGGCCAGGCGGACAUGCAUGCAACAUACUACCACAAAGCCAGUGACCAGCUGCAGUUGGGCGUGGAGUUUGAGGCCAGCACAAGGAUGCAGGACACCAGUGUCUCCUUCGGGUACCAGCUGAACCUGCCCAAGGCCAACCUCCUCUUCAAAGGCUCCGUGGACAGCAACUGGAUCAUGGGAGCCACGCUGGAGAAGAAGCUGCCGUCACUGUCCCUGGCUCUGGCGCUCUGGGCCUUCCUGAACCACCGCAAGAACAAGUUUCGGUGUGACUUCGGCCUCACCAUCCGCUGA